UGGGACAUGAUUUCCAGCACUGCCUGCUUCC
rnacentral:piRNA from 1 species